ensembl:snoRNA U3 Small nucleolar RNA U3
UAGACUAGACCUUCUGGGAUCAUUUCUACAGUCCUUAACAUGGAAAUGCAUUUUGGAAGCGUCUCGCUAUCCACGAUGAUGAGCAGCGACGUUCCUUUCUGAGCAUGACCCCGAUUGACAUUUUUGGAUUUUUAUUGUCAUUGAUGAACGUUCCUAGUGAUCUCAGACCGUAGGAGGAAAGGGACAUGAUCAGAAUGGU